CCGUCCUGGACCUGUACCAUAUCUAGAACCUGGUUAACAGAGCAUAGAAAAUAAUCAGUGAACCAAGAAUGUCUCAUGCUUCUUUUCAGUCAAAAUUACACAUGUUCACUAAUAUGACUGUCACAGUAAGUUCUUUACGGCGGCCAGCAUACCAUCAGGCCCCACACCACCACCGUAUCCACCCAGUCCGCCACCAACUCCGCCAGGACCUACACCUCCUGGACCAGUUCCAACUCCAAGAGUCCCAACACCCCCAGGACCACCACCGAUGCCUCUGCUUCCAGUUGUGCCUCCAUAGCCUCCAGGUCCAGCUCCAUAACCACCUGGGCCAGCCCCGUAACCUCCGGGUCCCACUCCGUAACCUCCCGGACCAGUACCAAAGCCACCAGGACCAGCUCCAUAUCCGCCAGGUUUUGCGAAUCCUGUUCCUACUCCACCAGCCCCAGGUACCAGGCCUGCUCCUCCAGGACCUCGUCCAGCUGACCCAACUCCUCCUGCAAGUCCACCAGCUCCACCAGCUGCACCUCCUGAUCCAAGUCCAGUUCCAGUAGCAGGACCGUCUCCUCUUCCUACUGCUGUUGCACCACCAGAAACACCUCCUGCUGGUCCUGCUCUGGUAGGUCCCCCUCCUACUCCUCCUGGCCCUCCACCUGUGCCUCCUGUACCACCUCUCUCUCCAUCGGGGCCAUCUUCUCCAUCUCCUUCACCUGGUGUGUCACCUCGAGGGACACCUGCAGACGGAGCCCAGAUGAUCACCAGACCAGUUUUGAGUAUAGAACUAAGACUGGAACCAAGGACUGAGUCUAGGACAAGGGAAUCUAUUCUACUAGGAGCCUGGUGUUGGCCAUGGAGUCUGUGUGCCAUCCUCUGUUAACUUCAGAUCAUUACAUCAUUUGACCUGAAUAUUCAUGCACCGCCUGGUCCAAAGCCACCUGGUCCACCUCCUGUUCCAAUACCAGAACCAGGUGUCCCAGCCACCCCUACUCCUGCUCCAGGUCCACCACCAGUUGUUACUCCAACACCUCGUCCAGGAAACCCUCCUCCUACUCCGAGCCCAGUACCAGGCCCAACCCCACCCCCAAGUCCUCCUGCACCCAGGGCACCUCCAGCACCUCCAGGAAGACCUACACAGAGCAGCAUUUUGUGAGACAACCUUACCUCCAGGUCCAUAGCCAGUGCCAGUACCACCAGGUCCAACUCCACCUGGUCCAUAGCCAGUUCCAGCACCACCGGGUCCAACUCCACCUGGUCCAAAUCCAGUUCCAGCACCACCGGGUCCAACUCCACCUGGUCCAUAGCCAGUGCCAGCACCA
ensembl:lncRNA